rnacentral:tRNA from 1 species
GGGCCCGUGGCGCAGUCCGGAUAGCGCGGCGGCCUCCUAAGCCGUUGGUCGGGGGUUCAAAUCCCCCCGGGCCCG